rnacentral:lncRNA from 1 species
UGCGCAACUCGAGUAGCCUACUAUAAAAAGAUGUCCAGGAAGCGGCCAAAUUAACAUUUGAACUCAAAAUGACUGCAGCUCCGACCACACAGGACAGACUGGAACGCGCCCAUUCUCAGAUUUGCGCAGUCGCAAUGAUGAAAGCAUUCGAGAAACACCGCCAUUAUUGCGUAGCUAGUCUGACUAUUGCAUUGUGUUAGCGACCUAAACAAAAAUUACCUGCAAUAAUGAGGGCAAUUGUGAAAUUUUGUGGGAGUAAGCCCAUAUAGUGCGCGCCGUUUGCAUAAGGUGCCGUUGACCAGCUCAAGAUGUCCGCAGAGAUGCUCAGCAUUCCUCUUGGCACGAGCAAGCUCAAUGUGUUGGUGACCAAACUGCAUGGGUUCUUGGCUCAUGCUCCCGAGGAAGAUGACAACACACUGGUGACUGAAAGUCCUGAGGGUGAGAACUGUAAUAAGUGCACCUUUAACUCAGUAGGUAUAGCGGUGUUGUCUGGCCAUUAUUGUCUGCUGAUUUUAAUUCACAGGUAUAAUGACCAAGGACUGUGUGGAGCCGCACUCAACAGACCGAACCUCCCUUGAGGUAUUGACAUGAAAAAUAUCCGUAUUGGCUGUUCUAGACCAAAGAGUAUUUAGUAUUGUUGCAGAUCUAGAAGAUGUAGUUAUUACAUAUUUCUUGUUGAAUACAGACCUCAACAGACGCCUUGAAGCAGUCCAGAUGUGGUUCCAGGAGGUGGGCUUUCUUCUGAUAUUUUGAAAUAUGUGAUAGUUUAUGUACAUGUUGUUUAUGGACAGGAAACGC